rnacentral:rRNA from 1 species
UACGUAGGGUGCGAGCGUUGUCCGGAAUUAUUGGGCGUAAAGAGCUCGUAGGCGGUUUGUCGCGUCGGAUGUGAAAGCCCGGGGCUUAACUCCGGGUCUGCAUUCGAUACGGGCAGACUAGAGUGUGGUAGGGGAGAUCGGAAUUCCUGGUGUAGCGGUGAAAUGCGCAGAUAUCAGGAGGAACACCGGUGGCGAAGGCGGAUCUCUGGGCCAUUACUGACGCUGAGGAGCGAAAGCGUGGGGAGCGAACAGG